GACGAACGCUGGCGGCGUGCCUAAUACAUGCAAGUUGAGCGCUGAAGGUUGGUACUUGUACCGACUGGAUGAGCAGCGAACGGGUGAGUAACGCGUGGGGAAUCUGCCUUUGAGCGGGGGACAACAUUUGGAAACGAAUGCUAAUACCGCAUAAAAACUUUAAACACAAGUUUUAAGUUUGAAAGAUGCAAUUGCAUCACUCAAAGAUGAUCCCGCGUUGUAUUAGCUAGUUGGUGAGGUAAAGGCUCACCAAGGCGAUGAUACAUAGCCGACCUGAGAGGGUGAUCGGCCACAUUGGAACUGAGACACGGCCCAAACUCCUACGGGAGGCAGCAGUAGGGAAUCUUCGGCAAUGGACGAAAGUCUGACCGAGCAACGCCGCGUGAGUGAAGAAGGUUUUCGGAUCGUAAAACUCUGUUGGUAGAGAAGAACGUUGGUGAGAGUGGAAAGCUCAUCAAGUGACGGUACCUACCCAGAAGGGGACGGCUACCUACGU
rnacentral:rRNA from 1 species